AGGAAGGUAUAUGCUAUGAAGCUUCUCAGCAAAUUUGAAAUGAUAAAGAGAUCUGAUUCUGCUUUUUUCUGGGAAGAAAGGGACAUCAUGGCUUUUGCCAACAGUCCUUGGGUUGUUCAGCUUUUUUAUGCAUUCCAAGAUGAUCGUUAUCUCUACAUGGUGAUGGAAUACAUGCCUGGUGGAGAUCUUGUAAACUUAAUGAGCAACUAUGAUGUGCCUGAAAAAUGGGCACGAUUCUAUACUGCAGAGGUAGUUCUUGCAUUGGAUGCAAUCCAUUCCAUGGGUUUUAUUCACAGGUAAAGAUAAAAGUGCUUUAAAUUUUCUCAUUUGUUGAGGGAAAUAGCUAAAAAUAACUUUAACAUUUCUUACUCUCAGUUCACCCAUUCUUCUUCCGUAUGACAUAAGUGACAUUUCAGAACUCAAGACUCUGGCCAGGCGCUGCCUCACGCCUGUAAUCCCAGAGCUUUGGGAGGCCGAGGCAGGCAGAUCUCUUGAGCUCAGGAGUUUGACACCAGCCUGGACAACAUGGUGAAACCCAUGUCU
rnacentral:sRNA from 1 species